CGCAUGGUUGGCUGGAGAGGAUUUGGUCAUGAAUAAGAUGCAACCUCAAACGUCCUCCACUGGCUCUGUGUGACCAGGUACAUUAAUCUUUCUUUGUACCAGCAGCAAGCUGUGAGGUGAAUGGCAGGUGGGCCCCAGAAAUCAAUUUCCCAUUGGUAAAGCAGAAUCUAUGAGAAUUCUUACCUCUGGAAGUUGUCUCAUCUGGUUGUUUGAGGAUUGAAUGAAACCAUCCUAGCACAUGAGCUCUGUGAAGGAUGAUUACAAGAACUCUUUAGUAUAGUCCAGGUGAAGAAACUGAGGAGGUACCAAGAGGUUAAAUAACUUGCCCAAGGAAGAACACACAGUUUCUAAAUGGCGAGGCAGAGAUAUGAACCUAGGCAGAAUGGCUCCAAAGCCUGAGUUGCUACAUCCAUGAGUAUUCCUGCAUGAUAGUACAACAAACAAAUAAACCAGGAGAAACUAACAGCAUGGAAUGUUAUUU